AGAUUAUACUUGUUAGGUCUAUUUGCUUGUGUGCUGACAUGAUGCGUGAUCUAAAUACCUUUAUGUAUAUACCUUUAUGUAUGAUUAUGGCUUCUUUUAUUUUGAAUCUGUGAUGUGAUUUGAUAUGAUUAAGCAUGACUCGAUGAUCUUUGUAUUGCCUUGUAUAAUGUGUAGUAUGUUGUGGUGCUAUUAUGUGUUUUCUGAGUAAAGCAUAUUGGUUAAUUUGAUGUAUAUAUAGUUUUAUUGUUAAAAGCAUCAUACUGUUUCAUGUGGACUUUAGCAUAAGGCAUGAUUUAUAAGUAAGUACAGGACUCAUGCAUUAUGGUGAGAUGGUGUGGUAAGGAGAAUUGAUAACUGUGUUCAUAAAGGAAAGUUGGGUGAGAAGUGAUGUCACCGUUAGAUUUAGAAAAAAUGUGGGGACCUUGAGUAUGGUUAAGGGCUGAUGCACAAUUUGAGGCCUUGGGUUUGGCUAAGGGUUGAGCAUUGAGUGUUGUAGAGAAAUGGGCCUUAAGUACAGUUAAGGGUUAAGGGUCGACAAGUAGUUCGAGGCCUUAGCCAUGGCUAGGGGUCGAACAUUGAGUGUUGUAAAAAAUAGGGUUGACGAGCAAUUUGAGCGUUAGGUUUACGGCUGAGGGCGAACGUUGGGUGCUAUAGGGAACAUUGACACCUUGAGUACGGUUAAGGGUCGAUGUACAAUUCGUGGCCUUAGGUACGGCUAAGGGUCAAACGUUGAGUGUUGUAGAGAAUGUGAAGGCCUUUAGUACAGUUAAGGGUCGACAUGUAAUUCAAGGUCAUAGGUAUGAAGGGUUGAAUGAUGAGCACCAUAGAGGAUAUUGAGGUCUUAGGUAAAAAUGGUCAGGAGUCGAUGGCUCUAGAAGGGGGCAGUCUUAGGCAGUUAUGGGAAAAAUGGUGGUUAUGUUAAAUGAGUGAGCUAGUGUAAAAUGUGUAACGCGUUAAAGCUUGGUAUAUGGCAUUGAGUAAUUCAUUCAUAAAGUUAGGUGAGGGUUUUGUUGGAAUGUUUUGAAGUUUGCAAAAUUUGAUUAAAAACUAUGUUAGCCUCUUAUAUGAUGAUAUAAUUCAUGAGUUUAGUGUGGUGUGAGUGAUAUUACUGUUGUUGUGUAUCUUCGCAAUGCAUGUAUGUUGUUUGGUGGCUCUUUAGGUGUGAGUUACUUACCAGUACAACGGCGUGUACUGCCCCCCUCCCCCUCGGCCCCAUCCAACCAGAUUUUGUAGGUGUUAAGGAAUAAGUCAUUUUUUUAGUUUCUUUUCGAUAUGAGUUUGUUUAUGAAUUGUGGAACUUGCCGUAGUUUCAAGUUGUUUUCUAUUGUCGAGUUGAAAUUUCAUGAUAGGUCUUAGUUUAUUUUGCUCAAGUUUGUCAUUAAAUUGAGUUAGUUAGUUUUAACAAGCAAUAUUGGUUAAUUUUAACAAGUUUUGUUGGUUUUGAUUUAGAAGUUAUGAAUAUUAGUUAUUUGGAACCUCUGGUAGUUCUGUUGAGAAGAAGUGGUUGUGGAAGGUUAUUGGGAGUGUGUUCUUUUGAAAUAGUUGUCGAGAAAAAUUUUGGUUUUGUUGUGGUAGUGUCGUUAUGCUGCAAAAUUUUUUCUUAAAGUGUAAGUGUUAAUAACGUUAGUUCACAAUAAAGUUAGUUUAGGUUAAAUUUUGGUAAUGAUCCUUAGUUUAUUAAUGAAAUUUGGGGUGGUUGCAUGUUUGUAUGAUGCUUUCUAUGAUUUGUUGGACUUCUCACCAUCAAAGUGAUGGUACGCAUCAAUGAUCCAUCAUACCCCUUUCUCGCCGAUUUAGUAUUAAUUCUUGGUUCAAUUUUCCCAUCAGCUUUCAAGUCCUUACUUAGGCUUUUAUCAUGGGUCUUUUGUUUCAACUAUACUAUCUUCUAUCAAUUGGGCCACGAAUCAUCUCCUCCAACACUUCAGGCCAAAAACAAGACAUCUCUAUUCAAACUACUGGGUCUAGCCUAUUAGCAAAUGGUCCUUCUAGCGUCUCUUCUGACAGGUGGGGUAAUGGCACCGACAACUCUUCAAAUUUUUGCCAUUAUUCAGCCAUUGUUCCUUGCUGUUUAAUCCUAAAAACCUUAUGCAGAAAGUUUAGUCGUGCAUCAGUUCUACACCCAAUGAUACCAAUGCAACGGUUGGCCCUUAAAGUUUACUAUUGACACAGUGAGUAUACCCGUUUCAGACAAACUAUGUAGUAGGAAUUAUCUCUCUGUCCUGAAGAACCACUCAUCCAGGUCUUCUCCAUUAAACACAGGCAUCUCCACCUUUUUGAACUUAAACCAGUCCCUCUCCCUCUGCAUAUUUCUUCCAUGACGGUUCUCCCUCUUUCGCUCUUUCUUUGUCACGGGUUUCAUGGUUCUCACAUUCUCUAAGUUUUCUUUUGCUACAGUCGUGACUUUGUUAGGAUACCACCACCUAACAAGGAAAUUCUCAAGAACACAAAAAGAAAUAAGAACCGUAAAAGAUAGAUUUAUAUUGCAAUAUCAAUAACGAAACUACAAUGUACCAUAGCUUUUCGACACGGUUACUCUCUCCUUCAAUUCCCCAAUGGAAAUUUCCACCAAAUUCUUCAUACCUUCCUACCACUCCUAUUUAUAGCAAUAUUCACUAACUUCCCAUCUAAUUAUCCUUAUACCCCUUACUAAUACCAAUACUAAUUUUCUCCUAAUGGUCCUACUAUUUCUAUACUAGGGUUUUUUCAACACUUUGCCCUUCGAAGACACCUUGUCCUCAAGGUGUGCUAACAAAACACAAUCAUUAAAUUGGGCAACCUUUUUUUUCCCUCUCUUUCUCUCUCUCUUUUUUUUUUUGUUUUUAAAUUAUGAGAAUACAACACUUAAACCAACAUAGCCUUCUCUUCCGCCUUGUUUAACCUUGAAAAUAAAUUGGGCUUCUAUUUUUUCGCUUGGACCGAGCCCAAUAAAUAUCCCAUGACUCCACAUUCUUCUUUCUUCAUUUCUAUUGGCGUUAUUCUCCUUUAAUGGGUUAGGCCCAUUAUUAAUUUCCGGUCCAAAACAGCAUAACCUGCUCUUAAGUAACCCCCACUACCCUUGUAACAGAUAUUGAAUAUAACAACCCCUUUAACUUGGAUUGCCCCACACCACCAACUCUUCAAACGUUGGGCCCAUAAAUCAUUAUCUUCCUUAAAAAUAACAAUGGGCUUCUAGCAAAACCAACCCAUUAUCAAGCCCAAAUUAAUAUUAUCACUUUGCUCAGUCCAUGGUCUCGCCACCUGACAGAUUUUUCUUCCCUCCCAUUUUUGCAAGUUACAACUCUUCUCAAUUUGAAUUAGAUUAGAAUAAUGGGCCUCAUAGCUUUCUUGAGAAUGAACCCGAUCGAUGAUGUAAAUCCCACAUAAUUAGGAUUAGUUGCUUUUUCCCUUGAUUCCAUCCAUUCGGGCCCCACCAUUUCCUAUUUCAUGUGCGUAUGAACAUGUUUUUUCUCCACUUCACGAAAAUUUCCUCUUCCCCAAGUCAUCUUCUCCAUCUAUUGCUUGUCGUUUCUUCGUCCGUCGGUAUCCUUGCCAUUCCAACCAUUGGAAUGUCGGUGCCAUCUCUUUGCAUCGCUUCCAACCAUCCUUUGCGUCCUUGAUCAAUGAUAGUUUCUUCAUUCGCCCACCGUUGAUUGUCGACAUGUUUCUUCUUUGUCGAUUUUUUGUCGCCUUUCUUUUUCGUUUUUCUGACCAUGUGUUUGCUUGUAGGUGCUCCUUCCUCCGUUUCUUCUUCUGAUUGCUAUAUCGCCUUCUCGUUAGUAAUGUUUGUCCCCUUCUCUCGAAUGCUUCUACCUCAUUUGAUCGGCAUUUCUAGUUCCAUUGAAUCCUUGUCUCCGACCAUCUCACCUUUUGUCGUCGGUUAUAGACGUCAACUAUCAGAUUCCAUUUCUUUUCUCCAUCUUUUUCAUGACUAUUUUCGUUCGAUUCUUCCAUCUUCGAGUCAUUACUCUUUUUCUCUUUUUCUCCUCUGAUAUGGAGCCCUCCAUCGCCUUCUUUCUUUUCUUUUGUUUCUAUCAAUUGCAUCUCCUUUUCUAUCUCUAUUGCCCAUUUUCCCUCGAUGCAUUUUGCUCGAACAAACAACAUUCCUUCUUCGAUACCUUUCAACAUCAGUGAAGAAUUUUCCAUAUAUGAGCUUUCAAUUGGAAUCUCACUGGAAGUUUUGGAUUCGACUCCCAUUGCAAUCGUUUCCUAUUUUUCUGAUAUUUUAUUUGUUGAUUUUUCCUUUUCUGUUAUGAUUUCUACUAGUCUUCUCUCUCUCUCUCUCUUUCCAGAGAUUCAAUGAGCCUUUGUUGCAAUGCUCUCACAUUUCUCCAUACCUUUACCAGUGCUUCUUUCAACUGAUCACUAUUCAUUUCUAAUUGAUAUUCCAGGAUGAAUAGUUUUGAUACCAUUUUGUUAGUAUACCAUUUAACAAGGAAAUUCUCAAGAACACAAAAAGAAAUAAGAACGGUAAAUGAUUUAUAUUGCAAUAUCAAUAAUGAAACUACAAUAUACCAUAGUCUUUCGAGAGGGCUACUCUCUCCUUCAAUUCCCCAAUGAAAAUUCCCACCAAAUUCUUCAUACCUUCCUACCCCUCCUACUCCUAUUUAUAGUAAUAUUCACUAACUUACCAUCUAAUCACUCCCAUACCCCUUACUCAUACCAAUAGUAAUAUUUUCCUAAUGGUCCUACUAUUUCUAUACUAGGGGUCUUACAGACUCCUUGUUUUCUUGGCUCGCCCACUAACUUGUUGACCAACAUCUUCAGUGUCUUCUGCAUCUCCCUCAUUUUCGUCUCUAGCAUCGGAAGCUUCUAUAACUCCUUCCGUACCUCGUCCAUUUCGCCUCAGUUACUCUUAAUCAUUCCUCCAUCUUCUUCUGCAUCAUCUUCUUCCACCUCUCUGAGAUGUUGAGAUUGCUCUGAUAACUUGACAGGACUCUAUGUCCUAGUCAUGAUAAUAUAUUUAGCAAUAGAACGAUUACAAGAUAAUCGGCCAUUCGGGAGCGAGGUUCUGCAUCAUGUUAAGAGGCAUUGCAUAUCUUAAAUUUGAAUAAUACAAUUAUGUUAUGCAUUAUCAUGUAGGAAAUUAUGCCUUGAGGUGGUAGAAUAUGUAGGCCGAGUGAUAUCGAAGCUCAAGAAGUCUAUGGUGGACAAAAUAUUAUGGAAUAUGACAUGGUUGGUGAGUCCAACCACCAACUAGAGAGCCCAAGCGAUAAUAUAAAUGGUAUUGAAGAGCAAUUAAUGUCAAGGAUUGCUCAAGGAGUAGCAGUCGGAAUGAAAAUACUUCGAAAUGACCCAGAAAAGAAAUUUAAAAUUGAGCGACUGAAAGUUCUAGGGGAACGAACGGCCGAUCCAACUGAUGCCGAAUUAUGAAUGAAAAUAUUGGAGAAAUGUUUUGAUGUAAUGGGAUGUCUGAAGGAAAGGAAGGUAAAACUUGCUACCUUCCUACUUCAGUAAGGAGCAAGUGACUGGUAGGAAUCAAUUAGAAGUAGACGUUGUUUUGUGAAGAAUAUUAUCUCCGCUCUUAUAGAGAUAAAAAAGGAAGGAUCAAUGAAGGUAGUAGAAUACCAAAAGAAGUGUGGAACUCUCCAAGUAUGCCACAACCAUCAUCGAAGAUGAGGUUGAUAGGUAUAAAAGAUUUGAGGAUGGUUUAAGAUUGGAAAUUCGAACUUCCAUUACUACAAUGGACUAGAGUGAAUUUGGAAAGUUAGUAGAAGCGGUGUUGAGGAUGGAAAAAGGUAUAUCUGAACGAAAAACUAAGAAUUUUCAAAAAAAUUUACGGAGUUCCUCGAUGAACACCACUGAUUUUUCUAGAGAUAAAUAGAACCGAGGAAGUAGUAGAGGGUUUUCACCCCAUUACAAGAAUUUUCACCUUUCCCCACGCAAAAAAAACGUAGGGAUAGGUUAUGCCCACACAUUUUUUUGUGUCGGCAUAAUCAUCGUCGUACCCAUGUCGGGAGAAGUGCCUCCCGACGAAAACUAUUUUUGUCGGCAUAAAUACCAUAUUUGCCAACACAAUAUAUUGCGUCAACAUAUGUGUUUUCCAGACGAAAUACACUUUGCGUUGGCAAAAGCAUAUUUCUAAAGAACCAAUAGAUAGAUUUCUUCCAAAGUUUAUUUGUGCCGGUAUAAAUUGCUUGUAAUUUUUUAUAUAAUUCGUAAUAAUUAAAUUACCAAAUUUUUAUUUCUUUAAUACCUAAUUAUGCACAAACAAAAAUUAAUCUUCAAACAAAUCAAUUGGGGACAAAUGUAAUAAAAGUAAGCUUAUAUAUUAAAAAUAAGACUAAUAUUCAAUACACAAGCUAUAAAAUUUUACGAACAAGAACUGUGUAUACAAUUAAAUUUGAGCAUUUCUAGCUUCUUACUAAUCCCCCAUACAAAAAUUUUAAUCUUCUCUAAACCCAAAUAAGUGAGAUCCUAAACCAAAUUAAGUAAUCAUCUCAAAAUCUUCUCGCAAUCUCCAAAAAAUGAUCUUUAAGAAUUUACACGAACUUGAAAUAGGAAAAACAAACAUUAUGAAAGAUUUCUUUAAAAUCAACAAAGAAAAAUGCACAAAAAGAUCUUAACAAUCACACAAAGAUUUAAACAAAAUGUUUAAGAUUGAUAUGAGAAAUGAUCCCCUCUUAAGCUAUAAACAUGUUGUCAAUGUUCAUAAUUAAUAUAUGAAUACUACAAACAACCAUUUUACUAUCUAAAAAGCGAUUAAAAUUGUUAUAAUUAAGACGUGAACCUCUCUCCUACGCUACGAAUGUGUCGUAAAUCCACAUAAACAAAUACAUAAAUGCCUUUUAAACCUACACAACUAUCGAGUCCUUACAAAUAAGCCAAGAACAAAGUUCCUUUAAAGUACAUAAUUAGGCUUCAAGAUAAUCUAAAAAACAAUUAAAACAUAUACAUCCUCCUUCCCCAAGUUAUGUACGUGUCCUAGUUCCACCUAAACACCAUUUGAACCUAUAAAGUAGUAACAAAUACAUAGAAAGCGUCGAAGUGAACUCCCCCCAAGCUACGAAUGUAAUUCAAUAGUUUUAAACGCCGUUUAAACCUACAAAGUGACAACACAUACACUAAACACACAUAUUUAAAGUGGCUAUCAUAACUGCAGGAUAGCCACAAAACAAACAAAUGAAGUUCCUAAUUCUACUAAAACACUCAUAUUUGAAGUGACUACCAUAACCGUAAGAUAGCUACAUAACAACAAGAUUAAGUUCUUAAAUUUGCCAUACUUCUUCAUCCUUCUCAAUUGUGGGUAAAACAAUCCUAUGAAUUAACUAACUUCUAGAUUACGAGUAAUAGAACAGGAUGAAGAGAACAAUAGAAGGUCCCCAAACAAAACUUUCAGUUUCGAAUUGCCAAAGCCUUUAACAAAGGAUCAUGUCAUAGGACUUGAUACAUAAAUAUUGCACUUGCAGAUAAUGGUAAUCAUAAUUGUGAGAGAGGUUGGAGGCAAUAAAGCAGGUUCUCUUACUCUGUUACAGUUUUGUUGUUCUUGUUUCUAAGUUUCUCUAAAGUUUGUUUUCGAUCAUUUAAUGAGCCUAAAUCAGAAAAUAACAAAAAAAAAAAUGGAAGGAGAAGUGAAGCAGAUGAAGCAAAGGGAUAACAAAAGAGAAAGGAUGAAAGGCUCGAUUUAAUCGACCACGACCAAUAGUUCAAGUCGUAGAGUCUCCUCUUUCCAAAGUGAUUCCUAUCGAGUCAUUGUGAAAAGGUGGUUCAAGCAUAUAGACGGUGUUGGUAUUAAUCUGUUUGCCUUGGGGGUCUUAUACUCCACCUUGAUCGAUUCAAUCAAGGAAGGAUGUACCAUCGUCGAAGAUUGUUUGUUUUUCUUCUAUUCAUGAUAUUUCCACGAUUGACAUCAACGCCACAUCAUGACUGUGUAUUUGACAAAAGGUCAACACAAAGUCCGAAAAGGUCUAAGAUCGGGUUCUAUUUUUUGAAAUGUACUUCAUGUCCAAAUUUGGAUGAAGUUUUAUCCAAAAGGUACUUAUGAAUUAUGGAAAGGAGUUUUGUAUCUGUAUGGACGAACUUUAGUACAAAAGGUCUAGACAAAGUUCAAAAAGAUAAA